AAGCACAAUGCAUGUUCACCUGAUCCUCCUCAUCCAAACUUUAUUCUUUGAGCUCUGGUUUUGCUGAAGCAUAAACCAGAAGAGAAAAGGGGCGUGUCUAGAGGAAGCAGUGACGGCCAGAUGAAGCCAGAUGAAGCUUCAUGAAGCAGUGAAGCUUUCCAUCAGAUUGUGUCACACACGGCCGAAGCUUCAUGGUGCUUCAUUUGCUCCACUGCGCCACCAAGUGGUCAAUGCAUGAAAUGACACCAUGGCUUUGGUGUGUGAAGCGUUGAAUUGGAUAAAUGAAUGAUGUUUGUGACGCGUGAUACAUAACUUAUGAACGUAUUAAUACGGUGUCUGUCUUUAUGAUACAAUGGCGGGGUCAAAAGGGAAAGUGGAGACAUAUUGUGAUGUGAAAAGUAAAAGAAUAAAACAUGCAAAGAUGGAA
ensembl:lncRNA